UGCGUAGGUGGCAAGCGUUGUCCGGAUUUACUGGGCGUAAAGGGCGCGUAGGCGGCCACCGCAAGUCGACUGUGAAAUCUCCGGGCUUAACCCGGAAAGGUCAGCCGAUACUGCGGGGCUAGAGUGCAGAAGGGGCAACUGGAAUUCUCGGUGUAGCGGUGAAAUGCGUAGAUAUCGAGAGGAACACCUGCGGCGAAGGCGGGUUGCUGGGCUGACACUGACGCUGAGGCGCGAAAGCCAGGGGAGCGAACGGG
rnacentral:rRNA from 1 species